UACGGAGGGAGCUAGCGUUGUUCGGAAUUACUGGGCGUAAAGCGCGCGUAGGCGGUCUUUUAAGUCAGAGGUGAAAGCCCGGGGCUCAACCCCGGAAUAGCCUUUGAAACUGGAAGACUUGGAUCUUGGAGAGGUCAGUGGAAUUCCGAGUGUAGAGGUGAAAUUCGUAGAUAUGCGGAGGAACAGCAGUGGCGAAGGCGGCUCACUGGCUCGAUACUGACGCUGAGGUGCGAAAGCGUGGGGAGCAAACAGG
rnacentral:rRNA from 1 species